AAAUAAACGUGAUCGAUAGUGAAAUAAGUACCGUGAGGGAACUGUGAAAAGAACUCGGAAUAAGAGAGUGAAAAGAAUUUGAAAUAGAAAAUUUAUAAGCAGCUGAAGUCGGAUUAAGACAACAGUGUACCUUUUGUAUCAUGAACUAGCGAGUUUUAAAGUUAAGCGAGCUUAAAUGAGUAAUCAUGAGGCGUAGCGAAAGCGAAUUUUAAAUAGUAUUUAAGUUUAACUUUAAAGACCCGAAACCAAGUGAUCUAGUCAUGGACAGAUUGAAGUUAUGUAAAAAGUAAUGGAGGAUCGAACUCUUUUCUGUGGCAAAAGAAUGGGAUGAUCU
rnacentral:rRNA from 1 species